GGGCGUGAAAUGGUUAGUUGAAAAUGAACUGGUGAGGGAUCGUUAUGAACUCAGGAAUUUUUCAAAACGCAGGUUCGAUUCCUGCCACGUCCA
rnacentral:tRNA from 1 species